rnacentral:tRNA from 1 species
GUGAGAAUAGUUCAAUGGUAGAGCACCGGUUUGUGGUACCGGUUGUUGCGGGUUCGAAUCCCGUUUCUCACC